AGAGUUUGAGCCUGUGUCAGGACGAACGCUGGCGGGGUGCCUAAUACAUGCAAGUCGAGCGAACUUUUGGGAGCUUGCUCCCAAAAGUUAGCGGCGGACGGGUGAGUAACACGUGGGCAACCUGCCUAUAAGACUGGCAUAACUUCCGGAAACCGGAGCUAAUACCGGAUAAUUCUUAUCUACUCCUGUAGAUAAACUGAAAGACGGUUUCGGCUGUCACUUAUAGAUGGGCCCGCGGGGCAUUAACUAGUUGGUGAGGUAACGGCUCACCAAGGCAACGAUGCGUACCCGACCUGAGAGGGUGAUCGGCCACGCUGGGACUGAGACACGGCCCAUACUCCUACGGGAGGCAGCAGUAGGGAAUCUUCCGCAAUGGACGAAAGUCUGACGGAGCAACGCCGCGUGAGUGAUGAAGGUUUUCGGAUCGUAAAACUCUGUUGUUAGGGGAGAACAAGUACGAGAGUAACUGCUCGUACCUUGACGGUACCUAACCAGAAAGCCACGGCUAACUACGUGCCAGCAGCCGCGGUAAUACGUAGGUGGCAAGCGUUGUCCGGAAUUAUUGGGCGUAAAGCGCGCGCAGGCGGUUCUUUAAGUCUGAUGUGAAAGCCCACGGCUCAACCGUGGAGGGUCAUUGGAAACUGGGGGGACUUGAGUGCAGGAGAGAAGAGUGCAAUUCCACGUGUAGCGGUGAAAUGCGUAGAGAUGUGGAGGAACACCAGUGGCGAAGGCGACUCUUUGGGCUGUAACUGACGCUGAGGCGCGAAAGCGUGGGGAGCAUAACAGGAUUGGAUACCCUUGCUAGUCACGAAUGUAAAACGAUGAGUGGUAAGUGUUUGGAGGGUUUCGCCCUGUAGUGCUGCAGGCAAUCGCUUUAAGCACUUCGCUGGGGUGUACGGCCGCAAGGUAGAAACUCAAAGGAAUUGACGGGGACCCCGCACAAGCGGUGGAGCAUGUGGUUUAAUUCGAAGCAACGCGAAGAACCUUACCAGGUCUUGACAUCCUCUGACACUCCUAGAGAUAGGACUUUCCCCUUCGGGGGACAGAGUGACAGGUGGUGCAUGGUUGUCGUCAGCUCGUGUCGUGAGAUGUUGGGUUAAGUCCCGCAACGAGCGCAACCCUUGUCCUUAGUUGCCAGCAUUUAGUUGGGCACUCUAAGGAGACUGCCGGUGACAAACCGGAGGAAGGUGGGGAUGACGUCAAAUCAUCAUGCCCCUUAUGACCUGGGCUACACACGUGCUACAAUGGAUGGUACAAAGGGCUGCGAGACCGCGAGGUUUAGCCAAUCCCAUAAAACCAUUCUCAGUUCGGAUUGUAGGCUGCAACUCGCCUACAUGAAGCCGGAAUCGCUAGUAAUCGCGGAUCAGCAUGCCGCGGUGAAUACGUUCCCGGGUCUUGUACACACCGCCCGUCACACCACGAGAGUUUGUAACACCCGAAGUCGGUGGGGUAACCGCAAGGAGCCAGCCGCCUAAGGUGGGACAGAUGAUUGGGGUGAAGUCGUAACAAGGUAGCCGU
rnacentral:rRNA from 1 species